rnacentral:rRNA from 1 species
GAUGAACGCUAGCUACAGGCUUAACACAUGCAAGUCGAGGGGCAGCAUGGUCUUAGCUUGCUAAGGCCGAUGGCGACCGGCGCACGGGUGAGUAACACGUAUCCAACCUGCCGUCUACUCUUGGACAGCCUUCUGAAAGGCAGAUUAAUACAAGAUGGCAUCAUUAGUCCGCAUGUUCACAUGAUUAAAGGUAUUCCGGUAGACGAUGGGGAUGCGUUCCAUUAGAUAGUAGGCGGGGUAACGGCCCACCUAGUCUUCGAUGGAUAGGGGUUCUGGGAGGAAGGUCCCCCACAUUGGAACUGAGACACGGACCAAACUCCUACGAGACGCAGCAGAGAGGAAUAUUGGGCAAUGGGCGCAGGCCUGAACCAGCCAAGUAGCGUGAAGGAUGACUGCCCUAUGGGUUGUAAACUUCUUUUAUAAAGGAAUAAAGUCGGGUAUGUAUACCCGUUUGCAUGUACUUUAUGAAUAAGGAUCGGCUAACUCCGUG